GAACCCCAGUGACUCUGUGAGCCAUUUAUGCAACAGAAGCUUGUGUGUCAAGCCCGAACAUUUAAACAUAGAGCCCCAUUCCACCAACAUGGAUCGGAGGACAUGUUUUCAGUUCGGACAGUGUAGGUGGCAUGGGACUGAGCCAGCCUGCAUAUUUGGUAAUUACAUGAAUACCACAAGCUUCACCAAGCUUCUAUUAUUCAUAUAAAUACACUUAAAGUACAUCAAUGCCUUUUUUUUCCCUUCUAUAUCUAUUUUAAUAAGGUAUUUUUGCCAUUUUAGGUAGAGGAAACCUCGAGGCUGAUACACGGGCCACGUUAUAGGUCUUUUUGCGAAGAAGUGCCAGAUCAGAGGACAUCAUUGACUGUAGUAGGGCUGGGACAUAGACCGUGUUCGUUAGUAAGUCAGGAUGAACUUUGGAUGAAGCAGGAACCCGUAACAUGUUUACAUAGCGAAUCCUGUUAGCACGCGGACGCAAGGGCUUAGCUUGGGUUUGAGAGCCGUCUACAUCCCGAAAGGUUGGAGACUACAUGAGACUUUGACAGAUGGCGG